rnacentral:rRNA from 1 species
AGGAAUUGGCGGGGGAGCACCACAAGGGGUGAAGCCUGCGGUUCAAUUGGAGUCAACGCCGGGAAUCUUACCGGGGGCGACAGCAGUGUGAAGGUCAAGCUGAAGACUUUACUCGACAAGCUGAGAGGAGGUGCAUGGCCGUCGCCAGCUCGUGCCGUGAGGUGUCCUGUUAAGUCAGGUAACGAGCGAGACCCCUACCGCUAGUUGCUAUCGCUACUCUCAGGAGUGGCGGGGCUAAUUAGUGGGACCGCCGCCGCUGAGGCGGAGGAAGGAGGGGGCUACGGCAGGUCAGUAUGCCCCGAAACCCUCGGGCCACACGCGGGCUGCAAUGGUAAGGACAAUGGGUUUCAAUCCCGAAAGGGGGAGGCAAUCCGUAAACCUUACCACAGUUAUGAUUGAGGGCUGAAACUCGCCCUCAUGAAUAUGGAAUCCCUAGUAACCGCGUGUCAUUAUCGCGCGGUGAAUACGUCCCUGCUCCUUGCACACACCGCCCGUC